rnacentral:rRNA from 1 species
AUUGAACGCUGGCGGCAGGCCUAACACAUGCAAGUCGAACGAGUGGCGGACGGGUGAGUAAUGUCUGGGAAACUGCCUGAUGGAGGGGGAUAACUACUGGAAACGGUAGCUAAUACCGCAUACCAUCAGAUGUGCCCAGAUGGGAUUAGCUUGUUGGGGGGGUAACGGCUCACCAAGGCGACGAUCACUAGCUGGUCUGAGAGGAUGACCGGCCACACGGGAACUGGAACACGGUCCGAACGCCUACGGGAGGCAGAAGUGGGGAAUAUUGCAAAAUGGGCGCAAGCCUGAUGCAGCAAUGCCGCGUGGUUGAAGAAGGCCUUCGGGUUGUAAAGUACUUUCAGCGGGGAGGCGUUACCCGCAGAAGAAGCACCGGCUAACUACGUGCCAGCAGCCGCGGUAAUAC